AGAGGUUGCUUUUGGCUCAGAACGAACGCUGGCGGCGUGGAUAAGACAUGCAAGUCGAACGAGAGAAUUGCUAGCUUGCUAAUAAUUCUCUAGUGGCGCACGGGUGAGUAACACGUGAGUAACCUGCCCCCAAGAGUGGGAUAGCCCCGGGAAACUGGGAUUAAUACCGCAUAAAAUCGCAAGAUUAAAGCAGCAAUGCGCUUGGGGAUGGGCUCGCGUCCUAUUAGUUAGUUGGUGAGGUAACGGCUCACCAAGGCGAUGACGGGUAGCCGGUCUGAGAGGAUGUCCGGCCACACUGGAACUGAGACACGGCCCAAACUCCUACGGGAGGCAGCAGUGGGGAAUAUUGCACAAUGGGGGAAACCCUGAUGCAGCGACGCCGCGUGAGUGAUGAAGUAUUUCGGUAUGUAAAGCUCUAUCAGCAGGGAAGAAAAUGACGGUACCUGACUAAGAAGCACCGGCUAAAUACGUGCCAGCAGCCGCGGUAAUACGUAUGGUGCAAGCGUUAUCCGGAUUUACUGGGUGUAAAGGGAGCGUAGACGGAGAGGCAAGUCUGAUGUGAAAACCCGGGGCUCAACCCCGGGACUGCAUUGGAAACUGUUUUUCUAGAGUGUCGGAGAGGCAAGUGGAAUUCCUAGUGUAGCGGUGAAAUGCGUAGAUAUUAGGAGGAACACCAGUGGCGAAGGCGGCUUGCUGGACGAUGACUGACGUUGAGGCUCGAAAGCGUGGGGAGCAAACAGGAUUAGAUACCCUGGUAGUCCACGCCGUAAACGAUGAAUAAUAGGUGUCGGGUGGCAAAGCCAUUCGGUGCCGCAGCAAACGCAAUAAGUA
rnacentral:rRNA from 1 species